rnacentral:sRNA from 1 species
ACAUGCGCCUUAGUAAGGCAAUCUCUAAUGCUCUGAGCUGGAAAAAAAACAAGAGCUCUCUGUAAAAAUACAAAAACAGCUGCUAAAUCAUCUCAAGCAGAUGAUUUUGUUUUGGGUGUGCAAAAAAGCCGGCUUAUGAGAGCAGCAAAAAUCCAACAAAAAUUCAAGCGAAUUCAAAGGAAAUGAGAUAUGCAAAAAUGUUUGCUCAUUUUGGUAAUCAGCAGACAAGCUGUUGCUGCUGCAAAGCACAGACUCUGCUCGCUGCACAGCCACAUACAUGGCCACACUUGGCCAUGACAAAGGAAUAACCCAAGCAAGACCAUUAGCGUGCAUUGUCUCCCUGAAGCAAGUGUUGGGUCCAUCCUUCUCUUGUUGCGCUCUGCCAAAAUCUGCACAAUUCUCCAAAAACCACACACACACAGUUGGCUGGCGGCGGAGAACACUUGUCGCCGCGCCGCCACCCCAUAUGCAUGCAGGGCAAAUCGAGCAGAAGCUGAAAACUAUAAGCGUAAAAUCCCACAAUGCCCACAUAGGCGAUGACUAUUUCUGCUAAACGGCGGCAAACCUUACUCAACAUAGAACCCAGAAUGCCAUUCGCCCAACGUUUGUCAAGUUAGACCAAACGCUAAGAUACGUACAACUGAACUGAGCAGUACGUGCCAUUCGUCCCAACCGGAGCAUUAGUUUUCUAUUGAGUGCAUGCAGUUCCCUUGAAAGAUAAUAAAAGAGCUAAAAUAUAAUACAAAAAAUCAAAUUCAGUCCAUACUACAACGACACACAUCCGUCAUUUGUUCAAAAGCAAAAAAAAAAAAAAAAAUAAUUUUUUUUGAAACUUAAAAAAAUUGUGACUAGAAAAAAAAAACAAAACUAAUAUUUUUGACCUAAACCAACAACGCUCAAUUUACACAGGCAAAAAAAAUAUUUUUUUCAAAAAAAAAACUUGAAAAAAUAAAAAAAAAAAAUAUUUUUAAAUAAAACCCUAUAGCAAAUUGUUGUGAAAUAUUUAGAAGGUGAAAAAAAAAACAAAAUAAAAUAGCAAAAAUCCUUUGAAUGUUAUAAAACGCCUGCUAGUCUCUUUAUAGUCGUAUAUUUAAACUCAUUAGAUAUUGAAUGUCUAGCUGCUGGCCCUUUAAAGGUUGUUAAAUGCUUUGAAUGUGUUAAGAAAAUCUUAAAGGAAAACUAAGCCAAAUUUAAACACCAAAAAGUUUACCAAAUAUUUGAAUUUAUUUUACAAGAAAAACCCAACAUAGCUUCCUGAACAACCUAUAAAACCUAGUCGAGUUCAUUAAUAAACAGCCAAAAAGCUGAAAAGUGUAGCAUUUGUCUAGUCCAAGUCCAAAUUUAGAAAGCUAAAGCAAAUCAAAAAAAAAAAAAAAAAA